ensembl:misc_RNA predicted gene, 22726
UCCUUCCAGGGGCUGUGUGUUUGGUUGAAGAGGAUGACUUUCCUUAAAUAGAGGGCAGGUCUUCAGUCAGGGGUAUAUGAGCAGCAGCUCUCCCUUCCAAGAACCUUCAAAGGAGCGCUCAUGGUUUUCUGUCUCCAUGCCCACAGUUCAAGAUAGAGUUAAAUGUGGAAAAGGAACGC